rnacentral:tmRNA from 3 species
GGGGAUGACCGGUUUCGACGGGAAGCUCUUUUACAAAACUGCAAGCCAAGUUUGAUAAACACUUGUCAAAAGAUAUCAAAAACUAAAAGCAAAACAAAAUUUUGCUCCAGCUUUAGCUUAUGCUGGUGCCUAUAACAAUAGGUAUCUUUUCGCAGAACUAUAAGCGGCGUCCUGAAGUCUGAUUCUCGAUCGGACCGAAUGGGUGUAAACCAAUUCGAGAUGCUUUACAGAUUUUAAUGGUUUAGAGAUCUGUGACUAAAGACAAAUAAAUCUUACUUUAGAAUUCCUGUUGGUUGGAUAAUUUUUAAAGGAAAUUUUAAAAAACUAAAUACGCUUGUAGAAGUUUUGUUAGGUAGUUUUUCGGAUGAGGGUUCGAUUCCCUCCAUCUCCACUU